AUGGUGUCAGUUGAUAGUGAAGAAGUGUGGUCUCAAUAUGUGGAGGCUAACAAGGAAGCACGUGCCUAUAGGAACAAGGUAGUGCACAAUUGGGAGUCCAUCAAUAUCAUAUAUUCAAAAGAUUAUGCGACCGGUGCAGGUGCUAGGACAGGAGUUGAAUGUGUUCAAGAACCACAAGACACACCUGUUGUUGAAGAAGCUCCUGAGGUGCCUCAGAAGAGGCAACGCACCGGGGAUGCUAUCUUGUGCAUGAUGGGAAAGAUGAAGAUGUCUUUUGAUGAUGUUUUGAAGACAACCGAGCAACUUCCUAUACCUAAGGUGACUCCUCCAACAGAAAUCCUUGCUGCACUAAAGAAGGUACCAGAUUUGGAAGAUAGUGAUAUGCUGAGAGCUUAUGGAAAAUUGAUUGUCAAUGAGAGUUUGUUUGAAGCACUCAUGGCGCUACCUGAGGAGUUAAGGAAGCCAUGGCUCUUGACCUUUGGUUAA
rnacentral:rRNA from 1 species